AGUCUCUAUCGGGCUCCCUUUGAGUGACGGCGCCCAGCGGGCGGCUGCGGAGCGCGGAUAGGAGGGAACGGGGGCGCGGUGCAGCGGGGAGAUGCGAUACCGACAGCCGGGGAGUGAGACGCUGACGGCGACAUGGUAUCCAGGGGCAAGGAUGAGUGUCAAAAUAGUCCUCAGCCGUUUCGGGUGUUACUGGGACAGAAAGACAACAUCCUAACCAGAAGGACAGGUGGACAAAGGUCGCCGCCGCGUCUCCUCCCCUAGAACCUCCUCAACCCAUAGGGGUUCUGUCGUUCCUUUUAAUCCUUAUUUUUAAACCGCCCCGAGCAAGACCGGCGCUCAGAUAAUCUGCUCGGUCCUUGGGCUGAGAUACCUUUGCUCAGAAGGGCACCUCGAAAUUGUUAUCUUGGUGAGCGGAGGACUAAUUUAUGCUCAGGUUUUACUACCUGGGAGAUGAAACCGAGUUUCUGUGUGUUUGCCUCAGUGCGCAUCGCUGGGACACAUCGGUACCAGCAGUACAACAGCUAAAACACGCGAGAGAAGAAAUAAUCUCCUGAAGGUGCAGAAGAAAAGUCCUCUGAGACACAGCAUAACAGAAGUUACUCUUCUGCCUGCUCUCAGUCUGUUGAUAUACCAGACAACGAAAAAUUCCUAAAAGGAGAUCAGGAAAAUUUAUUACCGAAUCACACCAACUUGGAGGAAGCUCGGCUAAUGAACUAACAAAACAAAACAAAACAAAAAAAAAAUACGGGGAGGAGGAAGAAGGAGUGGUUAAUCCAACCAAAUGUAACCUCCAACUUCUCGGGAGUGCAUCUUCCUCCUGACAGCCUACCGCGAUUAGAACUCUUCACGACCUUUCCCGCAAGUAACAACUGCAUUUCCGUAACAUCAAACCUUUCGGUUUCAUUACUUUUAUUAAAAGACGAAGGGAGAAUCGCAGGAAGGUAAAAACCUCGUGACCAGCGACCAAGUGCUUCCAAGUAAAAGGUCUUUCCAGGCAGCACUGGUACAAAUUCAGUAAAUAACGAGGGGCCAUUCUGCAGGGAGAAAUAUCGAAAUAUUACCGUUCCCUGGGAUAUUAGAGCCUCCCCUCCCCGCCCCCUGCAUUUCGAAAACUUGACUUGUCUUCAAACAGACACCCACAGACCGAGACCGUAUUUUGAUCUCGGCAAUUAACAUGCGAAGCACGUGGGGGAAUGAGGGAGGCGGCAAUUACACACAUAUCCCGCCCCAGUGCGGACGAGGGCAAGGAGUUCAUACGAGGUGGAGGGCCCAGGGUGCUGCAUAUCACCCCAGGGAUGGUCUACCCGCAGAACACCCUCAUUACCGCUAGGUUUCUCGUCUCUCUCUCUUUUUUUUUUUUUUUUUUUUUUUUUUUUAGUGAAGCAUAGCCCAGUUGCGAGGGGUAGCGCUCGAAGAGCACUGGGAGGAGCCGGGAGACAGGGGGGGCCGCGCUCGGUGCGGGUCCUGCCCGCGGGCCCCGGCAGGUGCCGCUGUUCCCCCGCCGCCGGCACCGGGGCAGCGCACGGCGGGGCAGGUUCCGGAGCCCGCCGGGGGCAUCUGGGCAUGACACCGAGCGGCAUCGGGUGGGGAAAGGCCCCACGGAGGAACUGGGUGUCGCUCCCACCUCCUUCCAACUUUUUUUCCCUACUCAGAAACGGGGUGCGUCCUGCCGAGGGGUUGCAAACGGGACGAGCAGUGGUGGUGACAAAAAAUAAACUCCGCACCCACAGAGUGAAUUUAAAAUCAAAACAGAUCAAUGAAACAAAUAAAGAAAAAAUAACACCAAAAAAAAAAAAACACAAACAAAAAAACCCCCACCAAGUUCACUCCUUUCCACGGGAACAUAUUUAUGGAAAAGAGCUUGCAUUUAAACGGCGUCUUUAUGAUAAGUUAUUUUUUACCUAGGUAUAAGCUGGCUACGAAAAUAAAAGCAGAAGGAACGUCGCGAAAAUGGGGCUCAUCCCCCUUCAGCCUGUGCUGAAAGCCAAAACCUCGCCGUGCGAGGAGAUUCGACUGCUCUGUCUGCUCACCCCGGGCUGGAGCUGAAGUCGGCUUUGUGCAUGCUUACCAAAACAUGACAAACUCUGACGAAGAGUUUGCUGUACUUCAGACUCUGGAAACCUCAAGAGCUACAGAUUAUUUGAACUACGGAUGAAAGUAUCUCAGUUUUCACCCCCUCUUCUCCUGCCGCUUUUCUCUAUUUCUGCCUCUGUACCUCUAAUAAGGAGAGAUGUACUUAACCAGAAAAGAAAAGGCAUUGGCUUAUUAUUAUUAUUAUUAUUAUUACUACUAUUAUUUUCAAAGGAGAUGCACCAUGAGGGUGUAUUUGUACUGGAAGUUUUUAGGUAAGGAAUUAGAUUGUGUGCGUGUGUGUCUAUGUAUGUGUGUAGAGAGAAAGCUCUAAAUUUAUUUUUUUCCUUCCUGAAAAAUAAAUUAAAUAUUUUUCUCCACCAAAUUUCAGUUACUUCACCUAAUAUUAUCUGUUCUUCGUUCUACAUGAUUUCAUUUCAAUUUUAAGUCUUGUGGAGAAAAAAAAAAAGUAAGUAAUUAAAAGAAAAUACUUUAAAUUACCUUCCACUAUAUCCACAGUACGUGCACCUCCACUUUUCUAAAAAAUAAUAUUCACAUGUACAGCCAUAUGCACUUCGGAUUAUUUACAUAUAUGAUAAGAAGACAAGGAUGAAGACACAAGGGAGAAAAUUUAAGUGUGACUUAAUGAAUACUGAGUUUAGAGGACCAUAGUUAUUAAAAGCACUGAUGGGGGGAAAAUAAAAAAUAAAAUAAAAAAUAAAAAAAAUGGAGGGGAAAAAUAAUGAGAAGAUGUGGAAGUGGAUUUAUUUCACGUAUUCAUUUAUGUUUAGUCUGACGCCCUAUCUCAUCUUUGUGGCUGCAGCGGCCAGCCCAAAUCUGACCAUCAUUAGCGCUGUUAUGUAUUCAUUUGUUUGUCUAUCCUUGGACGAAAAUUCAAGAAAUCGCCGACUUCCAUGGCAUUUCGAUCACCUGGGAUGUUCGGUGCAGGCUCGUAUUUUUAGCAGCAGAAGGCCGAUAUUAGUUGUACAAAAUGGCAGUGCCUUUCAAAAACAAGACUCGGAUGAAACUCUUCUUCAGAAAUUAAUUGGAGGAAAACAUCUUAGAAAACUCGACCUUUUUCUUCACUUUUUUUUUUUCCCCCUAAGUUUCCAAAGAAAUGCGAACUUCCCUUCUUCUCUAGGAAGAGGUAGCCAUUGCUCUUCUUCACACUAGACAUUUCCAAUUUGUUCCGUCCGUCAAAAUGGGACUAUGAGAGGUAUUGGUGCAAAUUCAUUAUCUCUGGCAAUGCAUAACCUAUAAUAGGAACUGAAAAAGACCGUGGCAAUGGAUGAACAAUAGGGCUUCAGUUCAUCAGCAACAAAAGCGUUGGGAAAUUGCUUGAAUUUCAGAGCACGUCCUCCUCAGCAGAGAGGGCUGGACUAGACCUUGGCCAACCCCCCCAAAAAACUUGCAGAGCCUCACAUACAACAGUUCACUUUCUACUCUGGGGCAUAGGAAGCAUCGUGGAAAAAAAGAAAAAAUAUAAUGGCAAGCCCAAGCCAACUUUCUGUGUUUCUCUCCCAUUUUUCUGGAUGGAACAUUUCUAACUGGUUUAGAGUCAUUGGAGCAAGGAAAACACCGUGGAGCUAAGCAGCAUUUUUAAAUAGGGAUGGUGAGGCGGAAGACAUGAAUUUCUGGAAAAUUGAAAGACCUUUCUCUGGUUCGAAGGGCUUUGGCUUUGGGGAUCUUUGUUUGUCGCCGUUGGCUCAGCUUUACCUAUAUCUGAGGUCACAUCUUUCCCUGAUAAAUGCGAAGAAAUAGUAAGCAGACAAGUGAAGCUGCAGAAAGUGGGGAUUAUUUGUAAGACUAUUUCCAGUACCAUCUUGAAAAUGCAUUUUGGAAAAUUGGAAUGGAAAGGAGGGAUAUUUUGACACAUAAUCUGAGAGGAAAACCAAAAAUGUUUAAAAUGGGAGUCCAUACUGAUAACUCAACGAAAUUGCUGGAAGGGGUUGUUUUAUUGAUAAAAGUCAUGUGACACUUUUUGGCCAGGAAGGCAAUUCCUGGCACAGAUGCUGCCCACAGCACGCUGCAGUAGUGGGAGUGAAAUAACUGCUGCAUCACUAACACCUGUGAACAUCACCUGGGAAAGAGUAGUGUAUGGCUAGUGACUUUUCUUCCCGAGGAGAAUGGCUGAGAUGUCUGUUUGGAGUUAUUCCUGGAAUUAGACCAGCAUGAGGUCUCCUCUACCAAUCAGAGGCACACGAUGUGCUCUCAGUGGAGAAGAGGCUGGGCAGCAGUUGUUGGAGCAGAUGCGUGGAGCUUCUGGAGGACUAUCUGAGCUGUUGGUGACAACUUCUCAUACUCCUUUCCUGGACAGGGUUCUCACUUUGGUACAGAGCACUUCAAUACCUAAUCCCCUUGACCCCCUCUGGGAUGAACAUCUCUGGCAGGCUGACUGUUAGCUCAGGAAAAAAAUGAAGAAGAAAGAAGAAAGACUUAAAAGACAUUCAAAUGCUAAUGGUCUUCCUCUCCCUGUCCUGGAGUAGGCUUUAUGCCUCCAAUCCUUUUUCCUAAUUCGUUGAGUAGUGCUGGUUUACCACCAGCACAGUGGUCCUUUCAAAGCCAUACUUUUGAAUGGCACUUCCUAUUUCAGCUUUUCUUUAAACAAAACAAUUGUGUCUGAUCUCCAUAACUAGAACAAGUGCAAAUCUGGAGUGAAAGAUGAGGCAACCUGGCACACCCUCAGUUACAAACUGUCUGGGGGUUCAAAUAGCUUUUGAUAUAACUUAGAUCAGCCUGAAGAUGAUCUCAAUGACCUCUAUCUGUCCUAUAGGAACCAGUGCACUGGGUCUGGUCAUGAUCCCUCCCUAUCCAACCACUGCUAUGAACAAGAAAGGGCAAAUGGUUGUAUUUAUCCAGCCUGCUGAGGAUGACAACACUCCUUCAGAGUCCAGAUUGGACUUGAGCAGUCCUUGACUCAAAAGGUUUCAGCAAUCCAGCCAUGAAAUACCACAAAGAAUCUCACCUGGAAAAAUGAUUAAGGAAACUUAUGUCAUGACAAAUAUAAAACAUAAAUAAACCUAUGACUGAAGAAAACAAGAAGGAUGAAAGUGCUCCUUAUUUGUACAGGAUGUUUUACAGGAUCUCUGUAAAAUAAAAAACUACCAGUCACUUGGAUGAGGACUGGUUUGCCUCAAGGGGGAAUUUGGUUUAGGGAACAGAGGUCCUUGAAGACUUAUUUUCCCACAUUCACGUAAUUUUUUGUUUGCUCACUUAGAACUGACAACAGGCUUAUUGAUCUACAAUGCACACAAAAAAUCCUUUCUAUUAACUGUUAUCAGUAACAAUAAAAUUAUAGCAUACUGUCGUGGAAAAUAACUCAAAAAUAGGAAUAAAUUUGGCAUGAGGGAAGAUGAUUAUUUUCAUCUUCCCUUGUAGAAACUGCAGAGUAAGUGCUUUUAAGAUGGACUAGAAUGAAAAGCAAGGAGGAGAUGUGGUUAUAUUAAAAAAUUCAGAUGAACUACAACUUCCCUUUUUCUGAAGAACUGAGGUUGAACUUGGUAGACCAUCACUGAUCUACCAUUUUCAAAACAGUUCUAAGAAGCUGUUGUACAGAAACGUCAGAGGAAAUUCCUAAAAGGAAAAAAAAAAAAAGAAAGAAAAAAAACUGGCCAAAGGAGAGAGCUCUGCAAUCUCCAUAACACAAGGAGAUGGGAAUGGGAUUGAUCCCCUUUGGAUAGUGUUGGUCACUCUGGUACUAGUAUGAGAGAUGGAGUUUGGAACUGACUUGAUGUACAUGUGGCAGGAGGCCAAAGCAGAAUCAACAUCCAGAAGAAAAUGCCAAAUACAAUAAAAUAACAGUGACUUAAUAUGAUUUAAUAUAAAUAAAUUGUUUGAGGUUAGUGGAAAGAAUCCUUGAUCUUUUCUUCUUGUUAUAAAUUAAGAUGAUUGUGUAAUGUAUUCUAACAGUUGUAACUCCUUCCAACUAGGUCUAUCCAUCACAGCUUGGACGGAAACACUGCUUUUUUUUCAUAUCAUGGAACCAAACUGUUGAGGAGGGUUCAUGACAGUAGACCUACUUACCCUGUUCCUCCUGCUUUUUACAAUUUCCUCUGUGUUUUUUUAUUAAAGCAAAGGUACCAUCUAUUACUCUGACAUACUGUUAUGCAGCCAUCCCAUGAACUGACACCUCCAAAGUGGCUUUGAGUUUCAGAACACAAAACUUGACUUUGAGCUAUGCUUAGCACAGCUGGUGCCAAACAAUGUGAAUUUUCUUCCUACAUCAUAUAUAGAAAGGCCCUGAUGGUGCCCUACCUCUUCCCUUCUCUCAUAACAUUUAGAUGUUUUAUAUGAAGGAAUCACAGCAGCUGAUUUGAUUUCACCUCUGAAAUCAAAUUUGAUCUCACCUCUGACACACAUUUCACUGUUGAGUCCUUCCUUCUUCAUCAUCUACUGCUUAACCUCCAACCUCUCCCUUCCCAGACCAGAAAAUCUGAAGUACUUUAUACAGAGGACAGAUGCUGUGGACUUGAGGGGAUCUCCAGCCCUGGGGCAUCAUACGGCUAGGGCAUGCUCCAAGUGGCUGCAGGAAGGGAUAAAGCUCGGUAAGGUAAAUGUGUGACAAAAGCCUGUGUUUCCUAUGAUCCCAUUGAAUUACCAAAGAGAAUAUAGCAAAGAACAGAUGGGAGGUAUCUCUGACUUCUCUGCUUGCUUUUGCUUCAUGUCCAUGCACUGUGGAGUGCCAUGUCCUGUCCAGCCUAUACCUUCUUGAAGUUUUCAUGAGACAGGCAAAGCUGAGAAAGCUCAAGAGGCCGUAGAUCAUAGACCGGUUUGGACUUUUAAAGGUCAUCUAGUCCAACUCCCCUGCAAUGACCAGGGACAUCUGACAUUUGAUCAGGUUGCUCAAAGCCCCAUCCAACCUGGCCUUGAAUGUUUCCAGGGAUAGGGCACCCACCACCUCUCUGGGCCAGGGCCUCACCACCCUCAUCAUAAAAAAAAAAAAAGUCUUCCUUAUGUUUAGUUUGAAACCCAUCUUUUUAUGCCUUAAAACAAUUUCCCCCAUCCUAACAUUACAGGGUCUACUGAAAAGUCUGCCUCCACCUUUUUUACAAGCCCUCUUUAAAUAUUAAAAGAUUGAAGUCUACUCUGCUGCAGUAGACUUGAGAACAAACCAGGUAAGUACCUACAAGGCUUGAUAAGACCGACUACUCUUAAACAUUCUCUUGCUUUUGCAUUUCAAUGACAUCUUACCUAACGUGUUUCUCAAUUAGUUACUAACAAAGUGAUGAUAUCAGUGUUGCCAUAGUAUCAGCACUCUGAAGAACAUCUGACUGUGAUAUACUGUAUCUUCAAAUGGACAAUAAAAUAUAAAGCAUUAUUUAUAUUGAGUUGACAAAAUGAUCCCCAAAAGAUACUAAAUCUUCCAUUUAGCUCAUCUGUUGUUUAAAAAUAAAGGAGCAACCAUUUAUGUUCACACAUCUGCUGCUUGAUCUCAUCACCAUCAUUAUCAUCAUCAUCAUCAUUAUUUUACAUUAACAUAAUUACUCUUUGUGUAAUGUAUAAAUUCAAAUACAACCUGUAAUUGCAUUCUAACAACUACUGGGAAUUAAAUGCUUACUUUCCAAAGCCUGGUAUAAACGGUGUUUGCAAGUAUACACUAUGUAAGUAUGAGAACCGUUAUAUUACAGGAGACAGGUGUUAGAAAGUGAAAAUUAUUAUUAGUUUGCAUAGAGUUAAACUCAAAACCAAUAAGGGCUUAGCUGGUUUAUGUUCUGUAAUGAGCAAGGAGCUUAGGUUGCCCUCACUGACAUUUUCAAAUACCCAACUACAUUGAUUUCUUAUUUCAGAUGAAAAUCACACAAAGGUUGUGGCUCCUGGAAUCAAGAAAAACUUUAAAAGUUUUGGUUCAAUUCUGUUUUCAAGCUCUUUACUUUAAGUGUGGUGGGACAAUCUAUAAAGAAGAAAUAUAUUCUUCUGUUUAACUGAUACCGUUUGGACAAUUCCAAGACAAAUCCUGCACCACCUACCUAUUCUCUGUUCUUCAGUGGAGCUGUGUAAAGCUACUCAAAAAGUCAUCCAGUUUGGGGGCUGCGAAUUUUUAUUUUUUGUCCCUCCCAAGACAAAAAUACUCAAAAUGUUAAAGAUGGUAUAAACCUGCAUCACAGCUGUGUAAGGUGGGCAGAGAGAACAUUUUUCAUUAAAAUCCUGGCACUGGAGAGCUUCCAAGUCCUAAAAAGAAGUUAGAAAAAGUAAAUUACAGGGCUAUCAACAUGGCGUGAAAGAAUGGAAGAUCAAGAGAAAACAGGUUUCACUUUCACUCUCUGGAUUAGAAGGAACUUCUUCUUGCCUCUUUUUCCUGUGGGAUUGGUGGGUGUGAUGUACAAUGUUGGGUAGCCAGCAAAGAAUGGUCCUCAUGUCAGGAAGACAGAAUAGUCUCAGAGCAGUUCCAAGAAGAACUCAAUUUUAACUGGACUUGAAAAGGACCAUAAUUAUCCCCUUGAACUUUCAGUAGGUUGUGUCAGAUACAUCAUUAAGAAGGUUCCACUAAUACUGAGGUAUACCUGCUCCACGGAGCAGCCUCAGAGAGAAAUAUUCUGCUAGACUUAGGAGCUGUGCUGCCUGCAGGCCUGACCACUGCCUACCUCCUGCUACAGAGCUGCUAUGAAAGCCCAAAUUGAUGUACUUGAUCUGUGCUGAGAAUUACACAAUGUUCCACAAUUGCAGUGAGAAGCCAUUAGUUCUGCAAAAGCUACUAUAUAAUUCCAUGUAGGCACUUCCCAUUCAGAAAUAUAUUUCAAUUAAAUUAAUUUCUGAAUAAAAAAUUAAGUGGAGAAUUCAAUGGAUGGCACCAGGGUCAAAGUUUGCCAUUCUGGAUUCUCAUCAUUUUGCUUUAAAAAAACCCAACAACCUCACCCCCCAAAAAACUGUGAAAACACAGUUCACUUCCACACUCUUUUGUACAUCUUUUUAAAAGUAUCUAUAUAAAUAAGUACAUACGAAAGAAUGUGAUUGUCAGAACCAUUAGCUUAUGUUUUCCACAUCUUAGUCCUGAUCCUUUUUCUUUUCCCUCUCUUAGUAUUUGAAUAUCUUAGUAUAUCUUACUAUUCUGUAAUAAAGAGUUAAUGCUAACUUGUUUUUAUGUUUGUUUGCUUUGUUUUGCAGAUGAUGCUGCAUUCUGUAAGAGUAUUUUUAAGAUGAAUUACUGAUUAUUGGGAAUCUACAAUUCUGGGUGCUUUGGAAACAAUACAUGUUAGCAACAAAAAGAAAACUGUCUUUAUCUGUAUUGUGAAAUAUUCUGAAAAGUGUAAUUGUGGGAAAACUGUAUAGUGAGAUGUGCAGUUUGCACUUCUUUGGGAAGAGAGACAGUUCUGCUUUUGGACAGCACAUGGAAUAAGAACAAUCUUUGAGAGGAGGUACCACCAAAAUCUGACUCUCAGUAACUUUUAUCUGGUCCCUGUCAUUAUUUCCUUAUUGCAUCAUAUACUGGAAAUGCAGCUCUUCCAUUAAAUUUCUACUCACUUUUUGCUUGCUUUCGCCACCAUGGACUACAACAGACAAAUAAGUUAGUGACGUUUUUUCAUUCUCAGCAUAUAAACUUCAGAAACAGGCCAAUUUACCGUCAGUCAUAAUUUUGCUAUGGAAGGCAGUGAGGAAAAGCUAUGAUCAGUACCCAAAGCAUCACAUUUCUAUUUUUUAAUAUUUAUAAAUUAUAUCUUAAACUUAAAAACCGGUUUGUUUCUAUGAAACAUGAUUAUGUAUAUUUAAUUCUUUAAAGGUUUCUUAGAGAACUAUAUACCUGCAUCUUCUCUAUCAAAUUACUGUUUUCUCAAAACUUUGUACUCCUUGUUUCUUGUUCUCAGCAAUAUAUUAGAGAAGAUAAAAUUCAAUGCAAAAAAUCUUAAGCCAGUUUCAAUUUACUUGUACUUUUAUUGUUAUUUUGUAUUCAUAUUAUAAAUACAGAAUUUAGCCUUUCAGAAAUCCUGCAGAUCCUUUGCAGACAAAAUCUUUUUUAUAUUGCUUGAAACAAAGAUUAUGAAAUGGAGUUGUGAGAUUAGUUCUCUGUCUGUGUGUAACAGCCCCAAUCAUUUUUCAUUCCAUGUUCUUCUGUCUGUUCAGAAGACUUUUUCCACCAAUACAACUUAACAUUUGAUGUAUUUAAUAUAUAUGUCUUUUUAAUUUUCUAAUAAAAUUAAGAGUUUGUGUUGCUUAAACAUACCUCUUUGGUUGGACUUUUAAUAAAAAUAUUUCAAUUAUUUUAAA